GGAAGAAAAGGAAAAAGGAUAAGAAUAAAAAGGAUGGACAGGUAGAUAGCGUGGCUGGUGUCAUUCAAGGUGAUGUUUCAGCCAUAGAAGAGACGGAAGAUAGACAAAUAGAUGAUGCUAAUAUCAGAAAGAUGAAAAAGACAAAAUUAGGGCACAAUUCGAAAAAUCUUACUAAUGAAAAGACUGAAAAAAGAGUGAGAUUUUCUGAUAAUGUACAGUUUUUCCAUCCAAUCAGUGAUCCUAGCAAUGAGAGGCAUGAAAAUAACAAACAAGAAUUAUUGCUUGGCAAAUAUUUCACACAGGAAGAAGAUGAAAUCGUCAAAGAUGCUGUUU
rnacentral:misc_RNA from 1 species